AGUGGCGAACGGGUGAGUAACACGUGGGUUAUUUUCCGUAAAGAGGGGGACAACCACUGGAAACGGUGGCUAAUACCGCAUAAUCCCGAGAGGGUAAAGGAUGGCAGCAUCCGCUUUACGAUAAGCCUGCGGUCUAUCAGUUAGUUGGUGGGGUAAUGGCUUACCAAGGCGACGACGGAUAUCCGGCCUGAGAGGGUGAUCGGACACACUGGCACUGGGACACGGGUCAGACUCCUACGGGAGGCAGCAGUUAAGAAUCUUGCGCAAUGGGCGAAAGCCUGACGCAGCCACGCCGCGUGAGGGACGAAGGUUUUCGGAUUGUAAACCUCAUUAAGAUGGGAAGAAUAAUUAUAGUUGUUACAAGCUAUGAGAUGACGGUACCAUCCUUCAGCCCCGGCUAAUUACGUGCCAGCAGCCGCGGUAAUACGUAUGGGGCAAGCGUUGUUCGGAUUUAUUGGGCGUAAAGGGCACGCAGGCGGGAGAAUAAGUUGGUAGUUUAACCUUCAGGCUCAACCUGAAGUCUGCUAUCAAAACUAUUUUUCUUGAGUACCAGAGGGGAAAGCGGAAUUCUUGGUGUAGCGGUGGAAUGCGUAGAUAUCAAGAGGAACACCAGUGGCGAAGGCGGCUUUCUGGCUGAGUACUGACGCUCAUGUGCGAAAGCGUGGGUAGCAAACAGGAUUAGAUACCCUGGUAGUCCACGCCGUAAACUUUGUACACUAGAUGUCGGGGGUUUCAACGCCUUCGGUGUCGCAGCUAACGCGUUAAGUGUACCGCCUGGGGAGUAUGCCCGCAAGGGUGAAACUCAAAGGAAUUGACGGGGGCCCGCACAAGCGGUGGAGCAUGUGGUUUAAUUCGACGAUACGCGAAGAACCUUACCUGGUCUUGACAUUUACCGGACAGGUGUAGAGAUACAUUUUCCUUUUAGGUCGGUAAACAGGUGUUGCAUGGUUGUCGUCAGCUCGUGUUGUGAGAUGUUGGGUUAAGUCCCGCAACGAGCGCAACCCCUAUCUUCUGUUGCUAUCAGGUUAAGCUGGGCACUCUGAAGAAACCGCCGGUGUUAAACCGGAGGAAGGUGGGGAUGACGUCAAAUCAGCAUGGCCCUUAUGUCCAGGGCUACACACGUGCUACAAUGGUCGAUACAAAGGGUAGCGAGGUCGCGAGGCUAAGCAAAUCUCAUAAAGUCGAUCUAAGUUCGGAUUGUAGUCUGCAACUCGACUACAUGAAGGCGGAAUCGCUAGUAAUCGCAGAUCAGCAUGCUGCGGUGAAUACGUUCCCGGGCCUUGUACACACCGCCCGUCACACCACCCGAGUUGGUGGCACUCGAAGUGGCUGCAGCUAACCCAUUUUUGGGAGGCAGGUCAUCAAGGUGAAGCCGGCGAGGGGGGUGAAGUCGUAACAAGGUAACC
rnacentral:rRNA from 1 species